rnacentral:rRNA from 1 species
CAGUAGCCACGGUAAUACGAAGGGUGCAAGCGUUAAUCGGAAUUACUGGGCGUAAAGCGUGCGUAGGUGGUGGUUUAAGUCCGUUGUGAAAGCCCUGGGCUCAACCUGGGAAUUGCAGUGGAUACUGGAACACUAGAGUGUGGUAGAGGAUAGUGGAAUUUCCGGUGUAGCAGUGAAAUGCGUAGAGAUCGGAAGGAACAUCUGUGGCGAAGGCGACUAUCUGGGCCAACACUGACACUGAGGCACGAAAGCGUGGGGAGCAAACAGGAUUAGAUACCCCCGUAGUCCCUGUCUCUUAUAC